rnacentral:rRNA from 1 species
UACGGAGGGUGCAAGCGUUAUCCGGAUUUACUGGGUUUAAAGGGUGCGUAGGUGGGCUGGUAAGUCAGUGGUGAAAUACUUUCGCUUAACGAAGGAACUGCCAUUGAUACUACCAGUCUUGAAUACAGUAGAGGUAGGCGGAAUGCGUCAUGUAGCGGUGAAAUGCUUAGAUAUGACGCAGAACACCAAUUGCGAAGGCAGCUUGCUACACAGUUAUUGACACUGAGGCACGAAAGCGUGGGGAUCAAACAGG